CCGGAGCCACCGGCCGGCCGAGGGCUCUGGGAAAGUCCGGCUCUUCCCAGCGCCCCCGGGGGGGGGGGGGGGGGUGUCCCGCCGCUUCCCACGCCCCGCUGGGUCAGGUCGGCCCCGCCGCCGAAAUGCCCCGGGGGGGAAGCAGUUGCCACAGCAGUGCAAGAGAGAUACAAGUUCCUGAUGCAACUCCAACCCGUCAGCCCUCGCUCAGUUUUUUGGGGUCUGGCCUGCUGUUAAUCAGAAGCUGCUGAGAGAUGUGAUUGAAUGUGAGGAGGAAAAGCCCCUCAGCAAGGGAGAUGAUCUCUGGCAAAGGGCUGCAGUCCACCCAUGACACGGUGAAGCUCCUGUAAUCAGCAAGAUGACCGCAGGAGUUAACCACAGAGCAAUGGAUUUACAUGUACGAGGUCAGCGUGGCCUCCUCCCAAAAUAGAGGCAGCACAGGAGGAAGCAAAGCUCAGCAAGGGAAAGAU